CAGCCGCCGCGGGAAUACGAAGGGGGCUAGCGUUGCUCGGAAUGACUGGGCGUAAAGGGCGCGUAGGCGGUUUUGACAGUCAGAUGUGAAAUUCCUGGGCUUAACCUGGGGGCUGCAUUUGAGACGUCAAGACUAGAGUGUGAGAGAGGGUUGUGGAAUUCCCAGUGUAGAGGUGAAAUUCGUAGAUAUUGGGAAGAACACCGGUGGCGAAGGCGGCAACCUGGCUCAUUACUGACGCUGAGGCGCGAAAGCGUGGGGAGCAAACAGGAUUAGAUACCCCGGUAGUCCCUGUCUCUUAUAA
rnacentral:rRNA from 1 species